rnacentral:rRNA from 1 species
GAUGAACGCUAGCGGCAGGCCUAAUACAUGCAAGUCGAACGAGAUUAAGAGGCUUGCUUCUUAUGAAAGUGGCGCACGGGUGCGUAACGCGUAUGCAACCUACCUUAAUCAGGGGGAUAGCCCGAAGAACUUCAGAUUAAGACCGCAUAAAAACACAGGAUAGCAUUAUCCAAUGUUCAAAUAUUUAUAGGAUUAAGAUGGGCAUGCGUGUCAUUAGCUAGUUGGCGGGGUAACGGCCCACCAAGGCGACGAUGACUAGGGGAUCUGAGAGGAUGACCCCCCACACUGGUACUGAGACACGGACCAGACUCCUACGGGAGGCAGCAGUAAGGAAUAUUGGUCAAUGGAGGGAACUCUGAACCAGCCAUGCCGCGUGCAGGAAGACAGCCCUCUGGGCCGUAAACUGCUUUUAUUCGGGAAUAAACCUUUCUACGUGUAGGAAGCUGAAUGUACCGAAGGAAUAAGGAUCGACUAACUCCGUGCCAGCAGCCGCCGUAA